rnacentral:rRNA from 1 species
CCUACGGGUGGCAGCAGUCGAGAAUCAUUCACAAUGGGGGAAACCCUGAUGGUGCGACGCCGCGUGGGGGAAUGAAGGUCUUCGGAUUGUAAACCCCUGUCAUGUGGGAGCAAAUUAAAAAGAUAGUACCACAAGAGGAAGAGCCGGCUAACUCUGUGCCAGCAGCCGCGGUCAUACAGAGGUCUCAAGCGUUGUUCGGAAUCACUGGGCGUAAAGCGUGCGUAGGCUGUUUCGUAAGUCGUGUGUGAAAGGCGCGGGCUCAACCCGCGGACGGCACAUGAUACUGGGAGACUAGAGUAAUGGAGGGGGAACCGGAAUUCGCGGUGUAGCAGUGAAAUGCGUAGAUAUCGAGAGGAACACUCGUGGCGAAGGCGGGUUCCUGGACAUUAACUGACGCUGAGGCACGAAGGCCAGGGGAGCGAAAGGGAUUAGAUACCCUUGUAGUC